rnacentral:rRNA from 1 species
UACGUAGGGGGCAAGCGUUGUCCGGAAUCAUUGGGCGUAAAGCGCGUGUAGGCGGUCCGGUAAGUCCGCUGUGAAAGUCGGGGGCUCAACCCUCGGAUGCCGGUGGAUACUGUCGAGCUCGAGUCCGGAAGAGGCGAGUGGAAUUCCUGGUGUAGCGGUGAAAUGCGCAGAUAUCAGGAGGAACACCAAUGGCGAAGGCAGCUCGCUGGGACGUGACUGACGCUGAGACGCGAAAGCGUGGGGAGCAAACAGG